CCUACGGGUGGCAGCAGUGAGGAAUAUUGGUCAAUGGGCGAGAGCCUGAACCAGCCAAGUCGCGUGAAGGAUGACGGCCCUACGGGUUGUAAACUUCUUUUGUCAGGGAGCAAUUGGGUCCACGCGUGGGCUUAGCGAUAGUACCUGAAGAAAAAGCAUCGGCUAACUCCGUGCCAGCAGCCGCGGUAAUACGGAGGAUGCGAGCGUUAUCCGGAUUUAUUGGGUUUAAAGGGUGCGUAGGCGGGCAUUUAAGCCGGCGGUCAAAUGUCGGGGCUCAACCCCGGCCUGCCGUUGAAACUGGCGUUCUUGAGUGGGCGAGAAGUAUGCGGAAUGCGUGGUGUAGCGGUGAAAUGCAUAGAUAUCACGCAGAACUCCGAUUGCGAAGGCAGCAUACCGGCGCCCAACUGACGCUGAAGCACGAAAGCGUGGGUAUCGAACAGGAUUAGAUACCCCGGUAGUC
rnacentral:rRNA from 1 species